UAACUAGGAUUCCCUCAGUAACGGUGAGUGAAGCGGGAAGAGCUCAAGGCGGGAAUCUGCUCGGUUUAACUAUCGGGCAGAGUUGUUGCCUAUGGAGCAGUGCGCCCUGCCAGCCCCGGGGGACCGAGUUCCUUGGAAUAGGACGCCAGAGAGGGUGAUAGCCCCGUCCGUCCGACCGGUUUGGUUGGCGUUGUGGACAUUGUUUCCGAGAGUCGGGUUGUUUGGAAAUACAGCCCUAAGCGGGAGGUAUGUCCCUUCUAAAGCUAAAUAUUCAGGUAAGAGACCGAUAGCGAACAAGUACCGUGAGGGAAAGUUGAAAAGAACUCUGAAGAGAGAGUGAAAAGUACGUGAAACCACUGGUAGGGAACCGCUUGGGGCGGUGGACAGUGCUGCGCAGUCUCUCACGGGAGUGCGCAGCCGCCCAGCAUCGGUUUUUGGCGGCGGAAAGCCGCGCGCGGCAGGUAGACCCGACCUUUUGCCAGGCGGCUGUUAUAGUCGCGCGCGGGCAGCGGUGCCGAGGACCGAGGAGAAUUUGUGAGGCGGCCUCCCCUCUCUCGGGAGGGUGGGGUAGCGGCUCGGCGGCGGACACUUUGGGCCCUGCCGCGUAGACAGCAUGCUGACUGCGCGGCACCUGCGGCACAAGGUGAGCCGACGUGUGGGCCGGUCGCGCUCAUGGAUGCUGGGAAGCACCGGCCAAACGA
rnacentral:rRNA from 1 species